rnacentral:ncRNA from 2 species
UACGAGAGGCCCGAGCGUUAGGCGGAAUCACUGGGCUUAAAGGGUGCGUAGGCGGAUCGGCAGGCGUCUUGUGAAAUCCCCGGGCUCAACCCGGGAAUCGCAGGGCGAACCGCCGGUCUUGAGGCAGGUAUGGGUCGCUGGAACGUUCGGUGGAGCGGUGAAAUGCGUAGAUAUCGAACGGAACGCCAGAGGUGAAGACGAGCGACUGGGCCUGAUCUGACGCUGAGGCACGAAAGCGUGGGGAGCAAACAGG